rnacentral:lncRNA from 1 species
AUGAAACCGAACAAGAGCUCAGAUUGUAACGACAGCACCAGGUGGCCCCGCUCACCACAUAGGGAUUGGGGACUCUGGAGGAGGAGGACAAAGAGGGGACUCUGGAGGAGGAGGACAAAGAGGGGACUCUGGAGGAGGAGGACGAGGAAGGGACUCUGGAGGAGGACGAUGAGGAAGGGACUCUGGAGGACGACGACGAGAAAGGAAACCUCACUUAGCAAUAAAAACAAUUCUGAUUUUAAUACUUUAAUACUAAUAAUAAGGGCCUGGGGUCUCAUUUAUCAAACAUUGCGUAGAAUCCUUACUAAAACCGUAUUUAAGCUCAGCAAAAAAAAUGUACUUAUGCCAAGUAGGUUUGUGAUCUAUCAAACAUGGAGUACGCACAGCUGCACGCAAUCUCCGCUUCCUAAAUCGGAGACUAACAAGAAUGUUUCUCAGCUACAUUUUAGUCACAUCCCACCCUCACCAUGCCCACUUACUGCCAUAAAUAGUCAAUGCAAAGUGCCUUGUGGAUCUCAUGCAUAUACAUAA